UACGGGGGGGGCAAGCGUUGUUCGGAAUUACUGGGCGUAAAGGGCUCGUAGGCGGCCAACUAAGUCGGAUGUGAAAUCCCCAGGCUUAACCUGGGAACUGCAUCCGAUACUGGAUGGCUUGAAUUCGGGAGAGGGAUGCAGAAUUCCAGGUGUAGCGGUGAAAUGCGUAGAUAUUGGGAGGAACACCAGUGGCGAAGGCGGCUCUCUGGUACGUGACUGACGCUGAGACGCGAAAGCGUGGGGAGCAAACAGGG
rnacentral:rRNA from 1 species